rnacentral:rRNA from 1 species
CUACGCACUCCUACGGGAGGCAGCAGUGGGGAAUAUUGCACAAUGGGCGCAAGCCUGAUGCAGCCAUGCUGCGUGUAUUGAAGAAGGCCUUCGGGUUGUAAAGUACUUUCAGCUAGUGAGGAAGGUGGGUAUGUUAAUAGCAUAUUCAUUUGACGUUUAGCUGCAGAAGAAGCACCGGCUAACUCCGUGCCAGCAGCCGCGGUAAUACGGAGGGUGCGAGCGUUAAUCGGAAUUACUGGGCGUAAAGCGCAUGCAGGUGGUUUGUUAAGUCAGAUGUGAAAGCCCGGGGCUCAACCUCGGAAUUGCAUUUGAAACUGGCAAACUAGAGUACUGUAGGAGGGGGUAGAAUUUCAGGUGUAGCGGUGAAAUGCGUAGAGAUCUGAAGGAAUACCGGUGGCGAAGGCGGCCCCCUGGACAGAUACUGACACUCAGAUGACGAAAGCGGUGGGGAGCAAACAGGAUUAGAUACCCUGGUAG